rnacentral:lncRNA from 1 species
AAAAGACUCAGCCCCAAGGUUAUCCGUGCUCACCUAGCAACACUGGCUGUGGCUGAGGAGUGGUGUUCCUCUACACAGAGCCUGGGCUUUCCUCCAGACUUGCUGCCCUCUUGCAAGCCCCCUGCCUGAUGUCACCUGCCUGAUGCUGGUGCUUUUCGACUGCUGUAUCUAUGAAGGGAGAAGCAUUUGCUGCUGAAACACUUGAGAGUAAAGUUUAGCAGAGUAAGAGAGACAUAAAUCUAGAGGUUUGGGAUAGUUUUUUUUUUAAAGGAUGUAUCAUUCGUUUAUUUUAAAAAGUCUAAGAAGAAAAGAGGAGAGCAGUGGGUACAUUCGAGAGCAUUUGAGGGUUAGAAAAGAUUUACAUCUUAG